CUCUGUUAUUACUUUGCUCCUGUUCUGAACCCACCUGCAGCAAUGAGUGGACCAUCCAUCAAUUUUCUAUACCGCUUCUUCUCUUAAAGUCGAGAGGGUGAAAGAGGACAACCCUGAGCAGGAGGACACACUGCCAUUAAAAGAGGGCUGUAAUCCACCGGACUGUGUGUGUGAUGCAUUCAAGCGACGUUCAAGCAUUGUGGAGCUGCAUCAAGUUGUGGACCGUCACAUAUUUUGUCUUUAAAAAUACCAAAUGACCCAACGGCAGAACGCUGCCAGCAAGGCAGACAGAGGAGCUGGCGAGGAGGAAAGCCGACAAUUGAGCAAGCGGACGGGCAAACGGGCAAGCAGCCAGGCCAACCACCACACAGCGCCAGCCGACACCCGCGGGGCAGCAAAUCCCGGAGAGGGAGUGGGAGUGCCGCAGGGAGGCCAAGCACUAGAGUCGAGAUUAGACCUUUAUCUUUCUAAUCAUGACCAUCAAACUACAGACUAAAUUACAAUAUCAUUCAAGGAGCUUUACAAAUUUCAAGUAAAAGGUAUCGUCAUCACUAUCAGUAAUGGCUUGUAUUUACUUGGUAUAUUAGAUCGAUACCAAAAUUUCAACAAUUUCAAACAGUAUCCCCCAACCCUACUGAUGAUUAUAUGGUACACAGAUUUGAUGGGGCAUAAAAGUAAAACUCUUUGCAGAGAUGGAGUUCA